ACUAUCUGGAAAUGUACAGCGGGAAGAGGUUGCAAUGAACAAUGUUCCAAAUAAUCUGGCAAGAAUCUAAGAACUCAAGGACCUGCUGAAGUUGAAAAUGAUAAUGAAGGUGAAGAAAAUGUGGCAGUCUCGGACGAGAAUCAAAGUUUUGACUUAGAUAAGAUAAUACAACAUUGCAAAUUACGUGGAAGACCUAAAAAAACUGAUAUUAACAGGAACUUAGCCCAGUUCCAACUACAAAGCUUGGAAGAAAUCUCCACUACAAAUCCAAAAGAACGAAAUUCUGCUGGUAAUAAAAUGGUGUCAAGGAAGCCAAGAAGAGUAAAUGGAACUGGAAAAUGCGAAAAGAAAAGCUUAAGUAAGAAACCAGUAAGGAAUGGUUAAAAUUAGGUUUCAAACUUUAACCCACUUUCUUAUAUAGACAGUUUAUUACGAAAUUAUAUAUCUUCGGCCAAUGGAAAAUGGGACACAUACCUAUAUGUCACUCAAACUUCAUUUGUCGUUAAUAAACCAACUGUCACAUCAACAACUGCACUAUCUGGAAAUGUACAGCGGGAAGAGGUUGCAAUGAACAAUGUUCCAAAUAAUCUGGCAAGAAUCUAAGAACUCAAGGAUCUGCUGAAGUUGAAAAUGAUAAUGAAGGUGAAGAAAAUGUGGCAGUCUUGGACGAGAAUCAAUGUUUUGACUUAGAUAAGAUAAUACAACAUUGCAAAUUACGUGGAAGACCUAAAAAAACUGAUAUUAACAGGAACUUAGCCCAAUCCCAACUACAAAGCUUGGAAGAAAUCUCUAUUACAAAUGUAAAGGAACGAAAUUCUGCUGGUAAUAAAAAGGUGUCAAGGAAGCCAAAAGGGGUAAAUGGAACUGAAAAAUGCGAAAAGAAAAGCUUAAGUAAGAAACCAGUAAGGAAUGGUUAAAAUUAGGUUUCAAACUUUAACCCACUUUCUGAUAUGGACAGUUUAUUGCGAAAUUAUAUAUCUUCGGCCAAUGGGAAAUGUGACACAUACCUAUAUGUCACUCAAACUUCAUCUGUCGUUAAUAAACCAACUGUCACAUCAACAACUUCACUAUCUGGAAAUGUACUGCGGGAAGAGGUUGCAAUGAACAAUGUUCCAAAUAAUCUGGCAAGAAUCUAAGAACUCAAGCACCUGCUGAAGUUGAAAAUGAUAAUGAAGGUGAAGAAAAUGUGGCAGUCUUGAACGAGAAUCAAAGUUUUGACUUAGAUAAGAUAAUUCAACAUUGCAAAUUACGUGGAAGACCUAAAAAAACUGAUAUUAACAGAAACUUAGCCCAGUCCCAACUACAAAGCUUGGAAGAAAUCUCCACUACAAAUGCAAAGGAACGAAAUUCUGCUGGUAAUAAAAAGAUGUCAAGGAAGCCAAAAGGAGUAAAUGGAACUGAAAAAUGCGAAAAGAAAAGCUUAAGUAAGAAACCAGUAAGGAAUGGUUAAAAUUAGGUUUCAAACUUUAACCCACUUUCUUAUAUAGACAGUUUAUUACGAAAUUAUAUAUCUUCGGCCAAUGGAAAAUGGGACACAUACCUAUAUGUCACUCAAACUUCAUUUGUCGUUAAUAAACCAACUGUCACAUCAACAACUGCACUAUCUGGAAAUGUACAGCGGGAAGAGGUUGCAAUGAACAAUGUUCCAAAUAAUCUGGCAAGAAUCUAAGAACUCAAGGACCUGCUGAAGUUGAAAAUGAUAAUGAAGGUGAAGAAAAUGUGGCAGUCUUGGACGAGAAUCAAAGUUUUGACUUAGAUAAGAUAAUACAACAUUGCAAAUUACGUGGAAGACCUAAAAAAACUGAUAUUAACAGGAACUUAGCCCAAUCCCAACUACAAAGCUUGGAAGAAAUCUCUAUUACAAAUGUAAAGGAACGAAAUUCUGCUGGUAAUAAAAAGGUGUCAAGGAAGCCAAAAGGGGUAAAUGGAACUGAAAAAUGCGAAAAGAAAAGCUUAAGUAAGAAACCAGUAAGGAAUGGUUAAAAUUAGGUUUCAAAUUUUAACCCACUUUCUGAUAUGGACUGUUUAUUACGAAAUUAUCUAUCUUCGGUCAAUGGGAAAUGUGACACAUACCUAUAUGUCACUCAGACUUCAUCUGUCGUUAAGGAACCAACUGUCACAUCAACAACUUUACUAUCUGGAAAUGUACUGCGGGAAGAGGUUGCAAUGGACAAUGUUCCAAAUAAUCUGGCAAGAAUCUAAGAACUCAAGGACCUGC